rnacentral:lncRNA from 1 species
UGACCCUGAUGACCCCAACGACCCCAUAGCCGACCCCAUAACCGCCCCCAUUGCCCCCCAACACGGAAGCUGCAGACCCAGACCCAUUGCUGCCCCCAUUGACUCCAUUGCUGACCACAUCCACCCCAUUGGCCCUAUUGCUGACCCCACUGACCCCAUUGCCUCUAUUGGUGACCCCAUUGCCCCCAUUGACCUCAUUUGAAGACCCCAUUGACCCCAUUGCCCCCAUUGUCUCUAUUGGUGACCCCAUUGACCCCAUUGACCCCAUUUGAAGACCCCCAUUGACCCCAAUGACCCCAUUACUGCCCCCGUUGCUGAACCCAAUGCUCCCAUUGACCCCAACGACCCCAUAGCCGACCCCAUAACCCCCCUCUUUGCCCCCCAACAGGGAAGCUGCAGACCCUGGACGUUCUGCUGCGGCGGCUGAAGGCCGGCUCGCACCGCGUGCUCAUCUUCACCCAGAUGACCCGGAUGUUGGACGUCCUGGAGCGUUUCCUCACCUACCACGGCCACAUCUACCUGCGGCUGGACGGCAGCACCCGCGUGGAGCAGCGCCAGGUCGGGGGGCUGGCCCCAUAGCCGACCCCACAACUGACCCCAUAGCCGACCCCGUUGACUCCGUUGCCGACCCUAUUCCUGGCCCCGUUGACCUCAUUGACCCCAUUGACCCUAUUACUGACCCUAUUGACCCUAUUCCUGGCCCCAUUGACCUCGUUGAUCACGUUGACCCCAUUGACCCUAUUACUGACCCUAUUGACCCUAUUCCUGGCCCCAUUGACCACAUCGACCCCAUUGUCCCCUUUGACCCCACGGACCCUAUUAACCCUAUUACUGGCCCCAUUGACCUCGUUGACCACGUUGACCCCCUUGACCCUAUUGCUGUCCCUACUGACCCUAUUCCUGACCCCGCUGACCCCCCCGACCCCGUUCCUGACCCCUCUGACCCCAUUC